rnacentral:misc_RNA from 1 species
AACGCACAUUGCGCCCGCCGGUAUUCCGGCGGGCAUGCCUGUUCGAGCGUCAUUAUCGACCACUCAAGCGAAGCUUGUUGUUGGGGCGCCCGGCCCCCCCCACCUCGGGGGGUCGGGGCCCCCAAGUCCAUCGGCGGGCUCGUCGGAACCCUGAGCGCAGUAGACAGGCGGGCGUUAAUUCGCCGGCCGCGGCCGCUCGGGAGGUUAAGGCGUAGUCCCGGCCGCUAAACCCCCCCUUCCACGACAAUGGUUGACCUCGGAUCAGGUAGGAAUACCCGCUGAACUUAA